UACGAAGGGGGCUAGCGUUGUUCGGAGUUACUGGGCGUAAAGGGCGCGUAGGCGGCGCACCAAGUCAGGCGUGAAAGCCCUGGGCUCAACCCGGGAAUUGCGCUUGAGACUGGUGUGCUCGAGUACGGGAGAGGAUAGUGGAAUUCCCAGUGUAGAGGUGAAAUUCGUAGAUAUUGGGAAGAACACCGGUGGCGAAGGCGGCUCUCUGGACCGAUACUGACGCUGAGGCGCGAAAGCGUGGGGAGCAAACAGG
rnacentral:rRNA from 1 species